AGAGUUUGAUCCUGGCUCAGAAUCAACGCUGGCGGCGUGCCUCAGACAUGCAAGUCGAACGCGAAAGGUGCCUUCGGGUAUCAAGUAGAGUGGCGUCCGGGUGAGUAACACGUAGGUAAUCUACCUUUGGGUGGGGAAUAACAACCGGAAACGGUUGCUAAUACCGCAUAAUGCAGCGGCACCACAUGGUGACAGUUGUUAAAGCGGGGGAUUUUCGAACCUCGCGCCUAAAGAGGAGCCUGCGGCGGAUUAGCUAGUUGGUAGGGUAACGGCCUACCAAGGCAACGAUCCGUAGCCGGCCUGAGAGGGCGGUCGGCCACACUGACACUGAAAUACGGGUCAGACUCCUACGGGAGGCAGCAGUCGGGAAUUUUGGGCAAUGGGCGAAAGCCUGACCCAGCAACGCCGCGUGAAGGAUGAAAUCCUUCGGGAUGUAAACUUCGCAAGAACAGGAAGAAUUAGCGAGCGCUAACACCGUUCGCGAUGACGGUACUGUUUGUAAGCUCCGGCUAACUCCGUGCCAGCAGCCGCGGUAAUACGGGGGGAGCAAGCGUUGUUCGGAUUUACUGGGCGUAAAGGGCGCGUAGGCGGCCAGCGCAAGUCAGUUGUGAAAUCUCCGGGCUUAACUCGGAAAGGUCAACUGAUACUGCGCGGCUAGAGUGCGGAAGGGGCAACUGGAAUUCUCGGUGUAGCGGUGAAAUGCGUAGAUAUCGAGAGGAACACCUGCGGCGAAGGCGGGUUGCUGGGCCGACACUGACGCUGAUGCGCGAAAGCCAGGGGAGCGAACGGGAUUAGAUACCCCGGUAGUCCUGGCCUUAAACGAUGAAUGCUUGGUGUCUGGGGUUAUAAAGUCCCCGGGUGCCGUCGCUAACGCUUUAAGCAUUCCGCCUGGGGAGUACGGUCGCAAGACUGAAACUCAAAGGAAUUGACGGGGACCCGCACAAGCGGUGGAGC
rnacentral:rRNA from 1 species